UGGGUGCAGAGGAAGGUAUCAACUAAUAAGGAAUUCAGGGGAAAACGCUGGACAGACAGAAGGCUGCUUAGUGAAAAGUUAAAGCGCAGGUGAAGGAUUCGGUUCCAGACAGAGCGGCAGCUGAGACAAGCACUGCGGAGGCAUGGCUCCAGGGAUUGAACUGGGACAGGGGACAGGAUCAUGACAACAAGUUAAAACCCACCGUGACGGACCUUUCAUACUGCCGCUCAGAGUCAGACGGAUGAUAGAUUGGGACGGCGCUAAGGUGGUGACUGCCAUCUGGGAGCGUGCGAUACAGAGAACCGGCCUGAGUCCAAACCCCAAACCCAGUUCAGACAAUACAAACUAAACCAGGGGGCUUGAUUUCAUGGUCUGACGUGUGCUGGAGACGCCUGUGACCUUUGAACCUGCUCGUCAAGCGCCUGUUGUUUCCAGGGAUGUCUACGGUGCCUUUUACCCGUGGCUUCGGGGCGAGAGGAGACCUCAGCGCCUCAGGCAACACAGUGUCAAACUGCUGCAGCUUCACGUCAGGCUCAGGUUCCUUUGUUUGAUCCCACACGACGUCAUCCUCGCGUUGCAGCACACAGGAUCUGGCUUCAGCAGCUAAAAGGGAGAGCGAAAUUUGCAUCUCAGCGUUUCCCACGAUGUCUGAUUCUUCUGGGCUCCGCUGUGAGGAAAAUACAUCUGGUUUUACACCGACGGCCAUGUCGACAGAGGCUGCUGCCAGAACAGGACAGAACAGAACAGAACAGAACAGAACAGAACAAGUAAUGUGUGGAGAACCUGUUUAGCUGCUGACGUACUGCUCAUACACACACACACACACACACACACACACACACGAGCCGGACCCGCUCACACACACACACACACACACACACACACACACACACACACACACACACACACACACACACACACACACACACACACACACACACACACACACGAGCCGGACCCGCUCACACACACACACACCCCGGACAAACAAACACACGUGGAUAUGCUGAUGCUCCCGCUGUCACGGCGGCGUCAGAACCGAGCCGUCCGUGAUGCAAAUGAGGAGCUGCUCCUGUGCAGCUUCUGCUUCGAGCGCAUGUUGGAGGAGCUAAAGUCAUUUGUGCAGACAAACAAAGACGUGCAAAGCAUGAACACGAGUGCAAUGUAACUGUUGAAACGUUGGCUCAAGAUAUUUUAAAAGCCACCGGCUGAAUUCUUUUAAGGAUCCGCUUCAAGGCUUCAAGAGGAAAUGAUGUUAAUGUGACGAUGCAGGAAAUAAAAAUCAUCAAGUCGGCGACUGGGUUCAACAGUCACAGUGUUUCUGCUGCUUGUUUAACGUUAUGAGUUGUUCCCAGAAACAGCGGACGCGGAAAUAAGCACCUGCUGCAGAGAGUCGAGGCCCGAGCACUUAGAGACACUUUGCACGUUUUGCGCGGCCGACCAAGCCGGCGCGAGGGCCUGAAGGUCGACAGCUCUGUGAUGCAUGACAGCGGCGCCGCUUACAGCAAGGUCAGCGUUUUCACUCGCCGCCGCUGCCGCUGGAUUUCCGCUCCGGAGACGCAUCAUCAGCAAAGUGAUGGCCCAGCAGCCUGUCGUCACUGUGUGUGUGUGUGUGUGUGUGUGUCUCUGAGUUCAACCACAGUGACUCUUGAAAACCCACUAAUCAGUAUUAUUACAUCAACACGAAACUGGGACCAGAAGCUCGAGCAGCAUUGAUUACGAUGAGAAAAGGUGUCAUCUCGUAUCCUACUACUCUGACAUCGACCUCUCGGCUUAAAACUGAGCUAAGUUGUGAAACGUGUGUUUCUGCAACGCAAACUAUUCCUUCAAAGGCGCGGGGAGCUUUUAUUCAUGGUGUUAUUUCUUCUGACAAGCCUUCAUUCCCGCUCUCAGGGAGAAACUACCAUUACAAUGGGAGACUCUGAAUCAAUAAGUGCACAAUGUUCAGCCCGGCUCGCGGAGUUAGAAAGUCAAAUACCUCCUCUCUUCAUGGGCAGCGAUUUAUCGACGGGCGACUUGUACCGAGUAAAGAAGCUCCUUUCAGGACGAUGUUUAGGAGUUUUGAAAUUGUCUUUGGCGCGUGUUUGUCUGCAGCGUGACUGUUUGGUGAAAGGCCUGGACGCUCCCUCGUGAUGCUGCUUCAGCGCUCACGGAUCUGCUCCUGCUGCACAUGUGUCUGAACCCGCUGUCAUAUGUCCAGUGCAGCAGUUAAUAAGGCCUGUCUGUAGGCCGCAUGCGCUGAAACGCGUUGUGUUGUGCCUCACGCAGCGUGGGACGAGGCAGCCUCGCUGCUCUAAUCGCAUCACUCACCGCUGCAUCUAAUAAAAACAGAGGCAGGAAAUGAAGACAAAUUGAUCCUGAACUUAUUCCACCUUGUAGGUUUGAAGUGAGGAGAGGCGGGUGCUCCUCGGUGUGUUUGUCGCCAGAGUCUCACAGCAUCAGCAUCAUCAGCAUCAUCUUCAUCAUCUUCAUCAUCAUCCCUGCGUCGUCCUGAGUCCAGGAUCACAGCACGGGACAAACGCAGGGGACCAGAAGCAGGUGCUGUGUGUCUGUGCAGCACCGGUGGGAACGACAUCCCGUAAAAUCACACUCAGGGGAGCGCUUAAAGGAAUAUUGUGGAGCAGGAGCCGGAGCCGAGCAGCAGAGCUGGAGGUCCGGCGGCGGCAGCACUUUGAGGAAAUGUCAACUUUUACAGAGGCCGAAAUCAAAACAGUAACGGAAGCGAAGCGAACUCAUUGCAGCGUCAGAGUUCAGAGCCUUCCUAAAUAAGAGUGUCAGCUCGGUUUAGUCGCUGGAAACACCACCGGGUGCUUUAAAAGCUAAAUGGAAACGUGUCAGCUUGUCUCUGGUUCAGGGAAAUACGGAAGAAUGCAACACGGAUGCAAGAAAAGCAUGAGAUCAGACCAGAACCUUGUUCAAGCACACAUUUAUGAGCAGACGUGACGUGUUGAAGGCAUCAGUCCCAGCGGGGCUUUAAAACCACACCACACACACGCACGCACACACGCGGCCGUGACCUCCACGCACGCCAGUGACCUCCGCGUUGCCGCGGUAACAGCUGAUGAUCAGAAAGCCUCUCGCACCCCCCUCACGCUUCGCCCAUUAGCGCAACCUAUAAAUCCACACUGUAUAAACAAGCAGUCAUAACAAAUGAUGCGAUCGGCCUCCGAGUAACAGCCUGCGACAAGGUGAACGCUAAGGCGUCUGAACUUAAAGUGGGAUUUUCUGUUGGAGGACACAAACGGACCCUUUGUCUCCUUCCCGAUCUGCUAAUAAAUUGGUUUUAGCCUGUUUUGGAGCAAAUUAUCCUUACCUCUCCUCCUAAUUUUCCAAUUUGCUGUGUCAUUUAUACCUAAUUGAGGACUGCACUGGGCUGUAUUACUCUCACAAAUAGGGUGAUAUAGUUUAUUGAAGGUCUGCUUUAUACAGAGGGGCUGGUAAACCAAACAUCAAUUGCAGCCUAUACAGAAGAUGGGGAUUUUUCCCGGAGGCUGGGGAGCAUUUCAAAGAGGCUUUAAUUAUUUCUCAAAGGCAAUCCCAGCCGUUGCUCCAACUUUCAUUUUAUGGUCACUUUCUUUCUUUUCCUUUGAUGGAGGUAAUGAAUGAUGAGAACUCAUUUUAUUUUAUCCCUGCUCCGUUGCCCUGCCUGUUAUUUGCGCCUAACGAGAUGCAAAGCGCUUGUUUUGAGUCCAGCCUCAGUGACGGGACGGGGGUCGGGUGAGCGCUUCCAGGCGAACGCAGCGUCUGAAGCCCGUGGCCGCCGCUCGCCGGCCUCCAGUCACACGCCCACGAAGCAUCAUGUGGGGCCAUCGCUGCCAUUCACCUCUUCCCCUUGUGCCACUUGGCGUUACCAUCAGCUCGCAUGCUCGUAGCGCUCCUCGGUUUGUGCUGACAAACCGACUUAGCGAAGGAUGAGUCUUGACCCCUGGCUGGCUCCGUAUGAAUGGAGUGCGAGACGGUGGCAGAUGGAGGUGUGGGCACGUGAAUAAAUCGAUUAGAGGAGCUCUUGACGGAUGGGAUUUAUAGGAGGCCUCGACGCAGCAGAGAAUUAAUUUCGCUGGGAGAACAUGCCUCUGCCAGGUUCAUUUGUCUUGGAAGGAAAUUUGGCUGUUUCCCCAGGUCUGGGGGCUCAAUUAACUUAGGCCCCAGCCGUCUGAGGGGAAAACAGGCUUUGGUGAGGAAUAUGCUGCACUGAUGUGAGCCGUGUUUGUGUUACAGAGGCAGCGGAAGGCGCGGGUGUGGAGCCCGUGGAAGGAACCGCGUGGCGUUCCAGCAGCGAACGCUUAGGGCCCGGCUCUGCUCCGGUCCUCCCUGCAUCCGUGUGGCUUCAGACGUCCGGUCUUCAGGGAAUUCCUCCGAAGCCGGCGAGUCACACAGCACGGAAUUGGUGCUAAUGCUGGUUUGAUACGUGUCGAAGCAUCUCUGCGCCGUCUCUCCCUCCCAUUAUCCCGGGUUCCAGUUCCGCAUCCUGAACAUCUCAGCAGAUGAUUUAUGUAGCGGCGCUGCUCUGUGACCUCAAAAUCCGCCCCAUCCAUACCGCACCUGUCACUGCGCCACUGCCUGCGUGCUUACUGAAAACUAAGCCAUCCGUGCAAAAUGGCAAUUUUCCACCCACCUAGAAAAAAAAAAAAAAAGAGGAGGUCCAAUUCUUUCUGAGGCAACACCAGGAAAAUUCUAUAAUAUGUAGAGCAGGUGCGCGAGGGCUCAGUUCUCCGCUAACGAGGGAGAUGAACUGCAUGCACUGUUGACCACAACAUCUGUCGUUUGUAACGAUGCAGAACUUGGUCUUUACCUCUGCAGCACAGUUCGCACAGCGCGAGACAGCAGAUGAUGAAGCGCUUAAGACGGCUACAGAUGGAAGGGAGCGGGCCGGCUGCAGCUGGGGGCACAGGGAUCCGAAGCUGGGUUUCCGUAGCAUAUGAUGCAUAAGAAUCCAACAGGAAUAGCAAAGAGUUAUGCUUGUCUGGAUGUGGCGAAGGCGAGACCCAGCCUGACCCAGUUCACCGUCCCAGGUGGAAGCGCUAACGAGCUCAUCAGCCCUAAAUAAGCCUAACAAGCUUCUAAUUGGCAGAGUUAUGAUGUCCCGAAGGUCAGAGAGCGCAGGUCCCCGUGCCAGGAGCAGGGAAACACAGCCACUUCCUGCCAACACAGAGUCAUGUGACCCGCCAACGUCCCUCUGUGUAAACAAAGUCGCUAAAGGACAACAGGAACUUCUUCCUAAGCAAAAAAGUUGGACAGAAAUAUGACUUCAGAGAGGGCAAAGGCAAAGCGGACUCCUCCAGCAGGACCUUAUUAAAACCUGUACAGCACAGAUCUUUUUAUUUUCUCCCACACUAUGUUAGAAAACUCAAAACAAGGGGCUUAAAUCUAUUUCGACUUAACAGGAAGAUCAGGAGAGACGCUGAUCACUAAACAGUCUGUGGGAAAAUGCUGCCACCUGCUGCUCAUUCGGCAAAGGUACACAGCCCAACGGUCCACUACAGCAAAUCAAAUGAGAGAAAAGAAAAAAAAAUCAGAAUAAAACAGAAAACAUUAUACACAUUUAGUGCUAUGGUAAAAGUGUAUUUGCUCAAAAGCAUAAAAAGCAUAAAAAAAAAAAAAAGACAAA